rnacentral:rRNA from 1 species
GACAGAGGGUGCAAACGUUGUUCGGAAUUACUGGGCGUAAAGCGUGUGUAGGCGGUCUCGUAAGUCGGGUGUGAAAGCCCUGGGCUCAACCCAGGAAGUGCACUCGAAACUGCGAGGCUAGAGUAUCGGAGAGGUUGGUGGAAUUCUCGGUGUAGAGGUGAAAUUCGUAGAUAUCGAGAGGAACACCGGUGGCGAAGGCGGCCAACUGGACGAAUACCGACGCUGAGACACGAAAGCGUGGGGAGCAAACAGG